UAGGGAAUCUUCCGCAAUGGACGAAAGUCUGACGGAGCAACGCCGCGUGAGUGAAGAAGGGUUUCGGUUCGUAAAACUCUGUUGUUAGGGAAGAAAAAAUGUAUAGUAACUAUAUACAAAAGAGACGGUACCUAACCAGAAAGCCACGGCUAACUACGUGCCAGCAGCCGCGGUAAUACGUAGGUGGCAAGCGUUGUCCGGAAUUAUUGGGCGUAAAGCGCGCGCAGGUGGUUUAGAAAGUCUGAUGUGAAAGCCCACGGCUCAACCGUGGAGGGUCAUUGGAAACUAAUAAACUUGAGUGCAGGAGAGAAAAGUGGAAUUCCUAGUGUAGCGGUGAAAUGCGUAGAGAUUAGGAGGAACACCGGUGGCGAAAGCGGCUUUUUGGCCUGCAACUGACACUGAGGCGCGAAAGCGUGGGGAGCAAACAGG
rnacentral:rRNA from 1 species